CGUCAGGUUCAACGGCACGUUUCAAGUAUCUUUAAAGAAAGAAAAACAAACAGGUCUCUGCGAGACAAAAGCGGCUCACACGAAGUAUCCGCAGCCCAGGCUGUCCAAGAGGAGGCAAAAAAAGAGGGGGCUCAGGCUCCCGCGCACCGAGGGGAGGCUGAACCGGCGCCGCUUUGGGGUCGGCGUGUUCUCGCCUCCCCGGGAAGGGCAGGCAUCCCCUCACGAGCCUGGAGGAGCGGUUCCUGAGGGAAGGCUGCCUUAAAGCAUAUGCCCGAGGAGGGGGAGGUUUAAAUUUCUAUAUGCGGGGACUGGAAAGAAAAUUAAAUCCCACCUGUGCCAGGAGGCAGGCAGGCAGACGAACACACACGGGGGAAAGGACACUCCAACCCCCCGGACCGCCGGGGCUGCCAGGGCCCAAGCCCCUACACGGCAGCUGGCGGGGCGGGAAGGAGGCGCGGCGGGGCCGAGGCGGUUCAGGUGUCGCUGUGAAGCAAGGGGCAGAGCGGGGAGGCUGGAGAGUUCAAGUCUCCCUCCAGGUAAGAAGGCAGACGGGCGGAAGCGACCGUCUCGGGGCUCCUCGGACGCCAGGAGGAGAGAGAAACGAGCGCUCGGGCUCCUCUGCCCCCAGGCUGAGAGACGCGGGGGCGGGGGGCGGCCGGAGCCCCUGCCCCGCCGUGCGCUGAGGGGCGAGCUCAGAGCGGGGAGGCGGGCGGAGCGCGAGCCCCGCGGGCCGGGGGGCAGCAGCGCCUCAGCCCUUCCCCCCUCUCCUUUUCUUUCCCCUCUCCACCCGGGCGAGCCCCAUUUCCUCUCAGCGGCAGCCGAGGGCGCUCCUUGGGGCCGGGCGGGGAGAGGGAGCGGCAGGAGCCAGCGCCGGUAGCGCCUUGUUCUCUGCUGCUGCUGCUGCCGCCGCGGCGGGCAGCCAGGCCGGAGGGGGCUGCGCAGCCCGCUCCCCGCCCCGCCGCGCCUCCCCUCCCGGGGCUCACCUCCUCGAUGGCCGCCACCGUGUUCCUGCACUGGGCCAUCCGGGUGGUGAAGUUGGAGGCGAAGAUGUUUAAGAAAUUGAUGCAACUGAACAUAAUCAGCAGGCAAGACUGAGAACAGCCCCACUGAAAAACAGAGCAUGGUGCAUCUCCAUUGGGAGGGGCAGCUUUUCACAUCUGCAGUGUUGUCUCCAGAAAAGGAAAUAAACCUCCGUGAAAGGAGAUUGUCUGCAUCUCUGCUCACUCCUCAGAAGGACACCUUGAGGUCAGUUCCCGAAUGAUUCAUGCUCUUUGUCAGAAUACACGGAGAAGGAUCCUAACAUUAAACCAUUGCUUGAAUUGUUUUUUGAUUCCAGGGUAAAAAUCACCAUACAAAGUAUUAUGAGAAAUAAAUACAGUGUUCUGGACAGAUUUUUCCAAGUGGUGGAAAAAUCCUCAGACUGCUAAAUGCAAGACUGACGUAUUUUCUUUUCUGCUUUCUUAAAAUUCCAUUAGUUUCUUUUGUUUCAAUAAGGUGGACAGGAGAUUUGUUUUCAGAGGUUUCUUGGUAGCUGAAAUGCCUCCCUUUUUAUUUUAUGUUUUAUUAAAGGUAUGCAAUAAUCCCCCUACAAUGCCUGUCAUGUUCAAUUGCUUAAUUAAGUUGCUGUGGUGAACUCAUUAGGACUAUAACAGUAUAAAUCUAUUAUCCAUAGCCAGCCCAGCAUUAGCAAUAAAAUGUUAGUAUCUUAUUUGGGAGUCUGGAUGCUACCUUUCUGCUAGAGGGCAGAAGUAGUAAACUGACCAUGUGGUUGAAAAUGUUGGCUCCUUUUUACAGCCCAGAGUCAGUCUUCUCUCAAUGUCCACGUAUGUAUGUCCUUGCUUAACUGUUUAACAGUAAACUGAUUAAAAAUAAACUAAGAAAUAGUAAAAUGUUCAGCAAUAAACUGCAUAAUGUGGUGAAUAACAGAACAUUGGUGAAUUACAAAUAGUGCACCCAUAUGAUUGCAAAACAAGGCACAAUUUGAAAUGAAAAUGGAUAUCCACACAAAUCACAACAUUUGCUAAAUAUUGUUCCGAGCUUGCUUAUGGCUGUAUGGCUUUGUUUGGGAUUGUGGCUAAGUUUGAAAUGAGCAAAGAAAGAACAAAAGAGGGUCACAUCAUAAAAAAAUCUUUGUAGGUACAUCAUUAAUGAGAUUGUUAGUACUAGAACAAGAAUGAUGCAGGUCAAGUGCUUUUAAGAGCUCAAGGAAACAAAACCUGAGCAUUGAAACUAAUAAUUCAGUUUACCUGUGGGAGAGGUGUCCAAACCUAGAAAAAACACAAGUUUACUGUCUUCCAUGGUGGUCACAUCAGACUCUCUGCCCACUGUGGUCAUAGCACAGGGGAUUCUCUUAACAAGCUGGAGCUGUUGUUUGGUAGCGAGAGGGGCUUCAGGAUCAGAAAGAGAAUAUUCAGCAUUUGGGUGGACUUUACAUGUAUUUAAGAUCCUUACUAAAAUUAGGACAAAUAACAGCCUGUAUAGGUAGACCUUCUCAUUAAUAAAUCAGCUCUAACAAGUUAGUUAAAUGACAUAUAAUGUUCUGGACAGCUUUUUGUGUUUCUCGUUUUACCACAAAA